rnacentral:miRNA from 1 species
CCAUCCUUCGUCUCGACUGGCG